GAUGAACGCUAGCGAUAGGCUUAACACAUGCAAGUCGAGGGGCAGCAUGGUCUUAGCUUGCUAAGACUGAUGGCGACCGGCGCACGGGUGCGUAACGCGUAUGCAACUUGCCUCACAGAGGGGGAUAACCCGUCGAAAGACGGACUAAUACCGCGUACACUUGGGAUAGGGCAUCCUGACCCAAGGAAAUGAAAUUCGCUGUGAGAUAGGCAUGCGUCCCAUUAGCUAGUUGGUGAGGUAACGGUUCACCAAGGCGACGAUGGGUAGGGGAACUGAGAGGUUGAACCCCCACACUGGUACUGAGACACGGACCAGACUCCUACGGGAGGCAGCAGUGAGGAAUAUUGGUCAAUGGGCGAGAGCCUGAACCAGCCAAGUCGCGUGAAGGAUGACUGUCUUAUGGAUUGUAAACUUCUUUUAUACGGGAAUAACAAGAGUCACGUGUGACUCCCUGCAUGUACCGUAUGAAUAAGCAUCGGCUAACUCCGUGCCAGCAGCCGCGGUAAUACGGAGGAUGCGAGCGUUAUCCGGAUUUAUUGGGUUUAAAGGGUGCGUAGGCGGCCUGUUAAGUCAGCGGUGAAAUCUAGGAGCUUAACUCCUAAAUUGCCAUUGAUACUGGCGGGCUUGAGUGUAGAUGAGGUAGGCGGAAUGCGUGGUGUAGCGGUGGAAUGCAUAGAUAUCACGCAGAACUCCGAUUGCGAAGGCAGCUUACUAAGGUACAACUGACGCUGAAGCACGAAAGCGUGGGUAUCAAACAGG
rnacentral:rRNA from 1 species